UCCACCCCAGUCCUCCAGCCUCUGCCCCUGGGUCUCAGUCACACGCUCUGCCUUUCUGACCCUCGACUUGGUCACAGGGGACCUCCCUGCCUGGGACAGCCUCCUCCUGCAUCUCCUCAAGCCCUCCUGCCUGCUUUCUAGGUCUCAGCUAAGAGAGUUUGUGCCGUGUCCCCUGAGAAGUGCCCAUCAGUGUCCCUACGGGGUGUACCUACUCCUCUCCUGUGGACCCCCUCGCAGUGCUCACCGGUGUGUCCUGUGGGCAUGGCUGUCUUUCUCCCGAGUGUAUAAACUCCAUCAGUUCCAUGGUGACUUCAGAGCUGUGUCCCCAGAAGAACUGUGCCUGGAAUACACGAGCCCACUGGUGGAUUGCCUUGACUUACCAUCCAGGAGGACAAAUGAGUUAAGAGCUUCUGGUGCACCUGGAUGCUUUGAUUGGAUGAAAACAAAGGAGCCGAAAUGGUGGGAGGCCAGCACCCCCGAGACACCAUACGUGGAUUACCUUUGUUAGAUGCUCCUAUUCAAAUUGGUUUCCCUUCCACACCACAAUAUUCCUUGGGUGCAAUCCACGGACAUAUGGAAAAUGUUAACACUAUUCACCCAACCAAAGCGGAAACAGCCAGCCUGUUUGCUGAACACCGCCUGACCCCAAUGCCCUUGGAGCUCAAGUACAAGAUUUGAGAGCAUGAGGGAACAAUUAUUAUAAAGUUCUGCAUCAUCAAUAGGAAGCUGAGGCUCAUGGAGAUUGGGGAUGUGAGCUCCAAGAGUACCCGACAUAGAAAAGCAGGCUUUAAAAACCUUAAAGUCAGCAGACCGACUCAGGGACUAUGUACACCGUCAAAAUCUGUGCACCAAUCCUAAGCCUGCUGUGUGGCGCCCAGGAAGCAGCCAGGCAGCUGAGCUCCACACCAGCUCGGAGUGGAGGGAAGGGGGAAGGGUUACCCCUGUGCUAUGGCAUCUUCUGCUGGGAAGGAGUUGAGCUUGAGGACACAGAGGAAGUAAAACCCAACAGGAAUCUUUACUUAAACACUGUUUGGUUCCUUUUCUUGUAUUCACAGAGAAUCCAGGU